GACGAACGCUGGCGGCGUGCUUAACACAUGCAAGUCGAACGGAAAGGCCCUGCUUUUGUGGGGUGCUCGAGUGGCGAACGGGUGAGUAACACGUGAGUAACCUGCCCUUGACUUUGGGAUAACUUCAGGAAACUGGGGCUAAUACCGGAUAGGAGCUCCUGCUGCAUGGUGGGGGUUGGAAAGUUUCGGCGGUUGGGGAUGGACUCGCGGCUUAUCAGCUUGUUGGUGGGGUAGUGGCUUACCAAGGCUUUGACGGGUAGCCGGCCUGAGAGGGUGACCGGCCACAUUGGGAGUGAGUUACGGCCCAGCCUCCUACGGGAGGCAGCAGUCGGGAGUAUGGCACAAGGGGCGGAAGCCUGAUGCAGCAACGCCGCGUGCGGGAUGACGGCCUUCGGUUUGUAAACCGCUUUCGCCGGUGACGAAGCGUGAGUGACGGUAAUGGGUAAAGAAGCACCGGCUAACUACGUG
rnacentral:rRNA from 1 species